rnacentral:tRNA from 1 species
UAGGCAAAAGCCCGCUGGAUUGGGUGUUUAGCUGUUAACUAAAUUAUUUAUGGGAUCGAGGCCCAUUUGUCUAG